UACGUAGGGUGCGAGCGUUGUCCGGAAUUAUUGGGCGUAAAGAGCUUGUAGGCGGUUUGUCGCGUCUGCUGUGAAAAUCCGGGGCUCAACCCCGGACUUGCAGUGGGUACGGGCAGACUAGAGUGUGGUAGGGGAGACUGGAAUUCCUGGUGUAGCGGUGGAAUGCGCAGAUAUCAGGAGGAACACCGAUGGCGAAGGCAGGUCUCUGGGCCACUACUGACGUGAGAAGCGAAAGCAUGGGGAGCAAACAGG
rnacentral:rRNA from 1 species